rnacentral:rRNA from 1 species
UACAGGGGGGUGCAAACGUUGCUCGGAAUCAUUGGGCGUAAAGCGCACGUAGGCGGUUCGUUAUGUCGGAUGUGAAAGCCCUUGGCUUAACCGAGGAAGUGCAUCCGAAACUGGCGAGCUAGAGUACGAAAGAGGAUCGCGGAAUUCCUGGUGUAGCGGUGGAAUGCGCAGAUAUCAGGAGGAACACCGAUGGCGAAGGCAGCUCGCUGGGACGGUACUGACGCUGAGGCGCGAAAGCGUGGGGAGCAAACAGG